rnacentral:rRNA from 1 species
UACGGGGGGGCAAGCGUUGUUCGGAAUUACUGGGCGUAAAGGGCUCGUAGGCGGCCAACUAAGUCAGACGUGAAAUCCCUCGGCUUAACUGGGGAACUGCGUCCGAUACUGGAUGGCUUGAGUUUGGGAGAGGGAUGCGGAAUUCCAGGUGUAGCGGUGAAAUGCGUAGAUAUCUGGAGGAACACCGGUGGCGAAGGCGGCAUCCUGGACCAACACUGACACUGAGGAGCGAAAGCCAGGGGAGCAAACGGG